GCCGGGCAUGGUGGCGUGUGCCUGUAAUCCCAGCUACUCGGGAGGCUGAGGUAGAAGAAUUGCUUGAACCUGGGAGGCAGAGGUUGCAGUGAGCCGAGAUCGCACCACUGCACUCCAGCCUGGGCGACAGAGCAAGACUCUGUCUCAA
rnacentral:SRP_RNA from 2 species